UUGCCUCAGUAACGGCGAGUGAAGCGGCAACAGCUCAAAUUUUAAAGCUGGCGUCUUUGACGCCCGCGUUGUAAUUUGGAGAGGCAUCUUCGGUUCGGGCGCCAGCCUAUGUUCCUUGGAACAGGACGUCACAGAGGGUGAGAAUCCCGUGCUUGGCUGGCUGUCCCUUUCCAUGUGAAGUGCCUUCGACGAGUCGAGUUGUUUGGGAAUGCAGCUCAAAAUGGGUGGUAAAUUCCAUCUAAAGCUAAAUAUUGGCGGGAGACCGAUAGCGCACAAGUAGAGUGAUCGAAAGAUGAAAAGCACUUUGAAAAUAGAGUUAAAAAGUACGUGAAAUUGUUGAAAGGGAAGCGCUUGAGACCAGACUCGGCCGCAGAUGAUCAGCCGUCCUUCUGGGCGGUGCACUUGUCUCCGGUCGGGCCAGCAUCGGUUGAGACGGCGGGAUAAAGGCCCGGGGAAUGUGGCUCCUUUCGGGGAGUGUUAUAGCCCCGGGCGCAAUGCCGCCAGCCUCGACCGAGGACCGCGCUUUUUGCUAGGAUGCUGGCGUAAUGGUCUUCAGCGACCCGUCUUGAAACACGGACCAAGGAGUCUAACAUCUAUGCGAGUGUUUGGGUGUCAAACCCUUGCGCGUAAUGAAAGUGAACGGAGGUGGGAACCCCUUCGCGGGGCGCACCAUCGACCGGUCCUGAUGUCUUCGGAUGGAUCUGAGUAGGAGCAUAGCUGUUGGGACCCGAAAGAUGGUGAACUAUGCCUGAAUAGGGUGAAGCCAGAGGAAACUCUGGUGGAGGCUCGCAGCGGUUCUGACGUGCAAAUCGAUCGUCAAAUUUGGGUAUAGGGGCGAAAGACUAAUCGAACCAUCUAGUAGCUGGUUCCUG
rnacentral:rRNA from 1 species